AACGAACGCUGGCGGCAGGCUUAACACAUGCAAGUCGAGCGCCCCGCAAGGGGAGCGGCAGACGGGUGAGUAACGCGUGGGAAUCUACCCAUCUCUACGGAAUAACUGCGGGAAACUGGAGUUAAUACCGUAUACGCCCUACGGGGGAAAGAUUUAUCGGGAAUAGAUGAGCCCGCGUUGGAUUAGCUAGUUGGUGGGGUAAUGGCCUACCAAGGCGACGAUCCAUAGCUGGUCUGAGAGGAUGAUCAGCCACAUUGGGACUGAGACACGGCCCAAACUCCUACGGGAGGCAGCAGUGGGGAAUAUUGGACAAUGGGCGCAAGCCUGAUCCAGCCAUGCCGCGUGAGUGAUGAAGGCCUUAGGGUUGUAAAGCUCUUUCACCGGAGAAGAUAAUGACGGUAUCCGGAGAAGAAGCCCCGGCUAACUUCGUGCCAGCAGCCGCCGUAA
rnacentral:rRNA from 1 species